CAGUAGCGCGGGAAUACGGAGGGUGCAAGCGUUAUCCGGAUUUAUUGGGUUUAAAGGGUCCGUAGGCGGAUUUGUAAGUCAGUGGUGAAAUCUCACAGCUUAACUGUGAAACUGCCAUUGAUACUGCAGGUCUUGAGUAAAUUUGAAGUGGCUGGAAUAAGUAGUGUAGCGGUGAAAUGCAUAGAUAUUACUUAGAACACCAAUUGCGAAGGCAGGUCACUAAGAUUUAACUGACGCUGAUGGACGAAAGCGUGGGGAGCGAACAGGAUUAGAGACCCCAGUAGUCCCUGUCUCUUAUACA
rnacentral:rRNA from 1 species